rnacentral:rRNA from 1 species
AUUGAACGCUGGCGGCAGGCUUAAUACAUGCAAGUCGAGCGAGCGGCGGACGGGUGAGUAAUGUCUGGGAAACUGCCUGCUGGCGGGGGAUAACUACUGGAAAAGGUAGCUAAUAACGCAUACCAUCAGAUGUGCCCAGAUUGGAUUAGCUAGUAGGUGGGGUAAUGGCUCACCUAGGCGCCGAUCCCUAGCUGGUCUGAGAGGCUGACCGUCCACACUGGAACUGAGACACGGUCCAGACUCCGACGGGAGGCAGCAGUGGGGAAUAUUGCACAAUGGGCGCAAGCCUGAUGCAGCCAUGCGGCUGGUGUGAAGAAGGCCUUCGGGUUGUAAAGCACUUUCAGCGAGGAGGCGUUACUCGCAGAAGAAGCACCGGCUAACUCCGUGCCAGCAGCCGCGGUAAUAC